rnacentral:rRNA from 1 species
UACGUAGGGGGCUAGCGUUGUCCGGAAUCAUUGGGCGUAAAGAGCGCGUAGGCGGCCAGAUAAGUCCGGUGUGAAAGUCAAAGGCUCAACCUUUGAAUGCCGCUGGAAACUGUCUGGCUAGAGUCCGGGAGGGGCGAGUGGAAUUCCUGGUGUAGCGGUGAAAUGCGUAGAUAUCUGGAGGAACACCGGUGGCGAAGGCGGCGUCCUGGACCAACACUGACACUGAGGAGCGAAAGCCAGGGGAGCAAACGGG